rnacentral:pre_miRNA from 1 species
UUACUAGUUUUUCCGUUUCAAAUUACUUGUCGCAGGUAUGGAUGUAUCUAGAUGUAUUUUAGUUUUAGAUACAUUCAUCUAUGCGACGAGUAAUUUGGAAUGGAGGGAGUACUUG